rnacentral:rRNA from 1 species
CAGCCGCCGCGGUAAUACAAAGGAUGCAAGCGUUAUCCGGAAUGAUUGGGCAUAAAGCGUCUGUAGGUGGCUUUUCAAGUCCGCCGUCAAAUCCCCGGGCUCAACCCUGGACAGGCAGUGGAAACUACCAAGAUGGAGUACGGUAGGGGCAGAGGGAAUUUCCGGUGGAGCAGUGAAAUGCGUUGAGAUCGGAAAGAACACCAACGGCGAAAGCACUUUGCUGGGCCGACACUGACACUGAGAGACGAAAGCUAGGGGAGCAAAUGGGAUUAGAUACCCGGGUAGUCCCUGUCUCUUAUAC